CCUACGGGAGGCAGCAGUGAGGAAUAUUGGUCAAUGGACGAGAGUCUGAACCAGCCAAGUAGCGUGAAGGAUGACUGCCCUAUGGGUUGUAAACUUCUUUUAUAAAGGAAUAAAACGCGGCACGUGUGCCUUUUUGCAUGUACUUUAUGAAUAAGGAUCGGCUAACUCCGUGCCAGCAGCCGCGGUAAUACGGAGGAUCCGAGCGUUAUCCGGAUUUAUUGGGUUUAAAGGGAGCGUAGAUGGGUUGUUAAGUCAGUUGUGAAAGUUUGCGGCUCAACCGUAAAAUUGCAAUUGAUACUGGCAGUCUUGAGUACAGUUGAGGUAAGCGGAAUUCGUGGUGUAGCGGUGAAAUGCUUAGAUAUCACGAAGAACCCCGAUUGCGAAGGCAGCUUACUAAACUGUGACUGACAUUGAUGCUCGAAAGUGUGGGGAUCAAACAGGAUUAGAUACCCGGGUAGUC
rnacentral:rRNA from 1 species